GCUCAUUAAAUCAGUUAUCGUAUAUUUGAUAGUACCUACUACAUGGAUAACCGUGGUAAUUCUAGAGCUAAUACAUGCUUAAAAUCCCGACUUCGGAAGGGAUGUAUUUAUUAGAUUAAAAACCAAUGCCCUUCGGGGCUCACUGGUGAUUCAUAAUAACUUCUCGAAUCGCAUGGCCUUGUGCCGGCGAUGGUUCAUUCAAAUUUCUGCCCUAUCAACUUUCGACGGCUGGGUCUUGGCCAGCCGUGGUUACAACGGGUAACGGAGGGUUAGGGCUUGACCCCGGAGAAGGAGCCUGAGAAACGGCUACUACAUCCAAGGAAGGCAGCAGGCGCGCAAAUUACCCAAUCCCGACUCGGGGAGGUAGUGACAAUAAAUACUGAUACAGGGCUCUUUUGGGUCUUGUAAUUGGAAUGAGUACAAUUUAAAUCCCUUAACGAGGAACAAUUGGAGGGCAAGUCUGGUGCCAGCAGCCGCGGUAAUUCCAGCUCCAAUAGCGUAUAUUAAAGUUGUUGCAGUUAAAAAGCUCGUAGUUGAACCUUGGGCCUGGCUGGCCGGUCUGCCUCACCGCAUGCACUGGUCCGGCCGGGCCUUUCCCUCUGGGGAGCCGCAUGCCCUUCACUGGGUGUGUCGGGGAACCAGGACUUUUACUGUGAAAAAAUUAGAGUGUUCAAAGCAGGCAUAUGCUCGAAUACAUUAGCAUGGAAUAAUAGAAUAGGACGUCGCGGUUCUAUUUUGUUGGUUUCUAGGACCGCCGUAAUGAUUAAUAGGGACAGUCGGGGGCAUCAGUAUUCAAUCGUCAGAGGUGAAAUUCUUGGAUCGAUUGAAGACUAACUACUGCGAAAGCAUUUGCCAAGGAUGUUUUCAUUAAUCAGGAACGAAAGUUAGGGGAUCGAAAACGAUCAGAUACCGUUGUAGUCUUAACCAUAAACUAUGCCGACUAGGGAUCGGGCGGUGUUAUUUCUUGACCCGCUCGGCACCUUACACGAAAGUAAAGUUUUUGGGUUCUGGGGGGAGUAUGGUCGCAAGGCUGAAACUUAAAGAAAUUGACGGAAGGGCACCACAAGGGGUGGAGCCUGCGGCUUAAUUUGACUCAACACGGGGAAACUCACCAGGUCCAGACACAACUAGGAUUGACAGAUUGAGAGCUCUUUCUUGAUUUUGUGGGUGGUGGUGCAUGGCCGUUCUUAGUUGGUGGAGUGAUUUGUCUGCUUAAUUGCGAUAACGAACGAGACCUUAACCUGCUAAAUAGCCCGUGCCGCCUAGGCGG
rnacentral:rRNA from 1 species